rnacentral:lncRNA from 1 species
CAGCUUCCGAGGAGAGACGGAGACUGUCCCGCCCCCCGCCUCCUCCGCCGUCGCCACUGAGAAAUAGUCCCGCCACAUCAGCGUCCCGCUGCCGCCACGACCGCUGUUCCUCCCUUCCGCUGCCCCGCCCGCUCCUCGGCGCUCUCCUGCACCCCGGGGAAACGCUCUGAUCGUAGAGAGGUUGGGAGAUCCGUCCCGGGGAGCAAACGGCAAACAUGUUUACAACUUAGACACUGGAGUCCUCUGGCUCAAACUGGACAGAACCAGUUUUUCCCGCCAAAAAGACUAUAUAAGAGCCUGCUCAGUGCCUGCGUGGAGCUGUCCAUUCUAGCGGCAGCGCGUGCACGGUCGGGUCUUCCUAAACACUCCAAAGCUAGAGAGAAGAGUACCAUCUAUCCCGCAGCGAGGUUGAGGAAGGAGAGACCUGUCAUCACUAUCCUCGUCACAGCAAACUGAAUCCAUUUUACCUGUGGAGGGUCCUGCUUUCCUGGUAUCCAUCUUCCCAGACGGUCUCCCCGCCUGCAACGAAGUCCAACAGUCGUCGGAACUCCCCAGUAGUCCUCCCCGAAGGCUCUAAAUCAGCCAGAGAGUAGAAAGUCCUGGGCUUCGCACCUGCACGCUGUGUCCACUGCACCUAAAUCAUAGGAAAGGUUUCUGUAUUGGGGUUUCUUUUAUUGUUUUCUAAACGCCAAGGGAGGUUUUGU